rnacentral:misc_RNA from 1 species
GAUGAAGAACGUAGCGAAAUGCGAUACUUGGUGUGAAUUGCAGAAUCCCGUGAACCAUCGAGUCUUUGAACGCAAGUUGCGCCCGAAGCCAUUAGGCCGAGGGCACGCCUGCCUGGGCGUCACACGUCGUUGCCCCCCCAUCUACUCCUUCGGGAUUGCGGGGGGCGGAUGAUGGCCUCCCGUGCGCCUUGUCGCGCGGUUGGCAUAAAUGCCAAGUCCUCGGCGACGCACGCCACGACAAUCGGUGGUUGCGAAACCUCGGUUGCCCGUCGUGUGCGGUCGUCGCGCAUCGAGGGCUCGAAAAAAUUGCCGAGUUCCGGCUCGGCUUUCAACGCGACCCCAGGUCAGGCGGGGUUACCCGCUGAAUUUAAGCAUAUCAAUAAGCGGAGGA